rnacentral:rRNA from 1 species
UACGUAGGGUGCAAGCGUUGUCCGGAAUUAUUGGGCGUAAAGAGCGUGUAGGCGGCCUUAUAAGUCGGCUGUGAAAGUCAAGGGCUCAACCCUUGAAUGCCGGCCGAUACUGUGAGGCUAGAGUCCGGAAGAGGCGAGUGGAAUUCCUGGUGUAGCGGUGAAAUGCGCAGAUAUCAGGAGGAACACCGAUGGCGAAGGCAGCUCGCUGGGACGGUACUGACGCUGAGACGCGAAAGCGUGGGGAGCGAACAGG